rnacentral:sRNA from 1 species
GAAUCUAGAAAACUGUAUCUGAAGUUGUUCCUACCUGAAGCCGUUGCAUUGAGAGGUGCUAAGUGGAUCCUCUGGCCAGCUGACUGCACUUCUUUUUUGAGAAAGGAAGGAAUAUAUCCUGACUGAUUGUGGAGCACUGCCCAGCACGCAGUAGAUACUGCAUGUGGCAGACACACGCAGCCCUAGCAAACCAAGAGUGAGCCACCUUGGCAGCAGAUCCUCCAGCCCCAGUCAAGCCUUCGGAUGACUGCAACUUUGGCCAAUUACCUGACUGCCAUGAGAGAACCCAAGCCAGAACUACCCAGCUAAGCUACUUCUAAAUUCUUGACCCACAGAAACUAUGUGAAUUAAUAAAUGUUUCUUCUUAUUUUAAG